CUUGGUCAUUUAGAGGAAGUAAAAGUCGUAACAAGGUUUCCGUAGGUGAACCUGCGGAAGGAUCAUUAUCGAAAUUAUUGGUGAGGGUUGUAGCUGGCCUUUCGAGGCAUGUGCACGCUCGAGCCCUUAAUCCACUUUACACCUGUGCACUUAAUGUAGGUCGCCCUUAAAAAAGGUGACCUAUGUCUUAUCAUCAACCCAUCGUAUGUCUCAUAGAAUGUAAUCGAUAUCCUCGCCCUAAAAAAGCGUUGAUAAACUUAUACAACUUUCAACAACGGAUCUCUUGGCUCUCGCAUCGAUGAAGAACGCAGCGAAAUGCGAUAAGUAAUGUGAAUUGCAGAUUUUCAGUGAAUCAUCGAAUCUUUGAACGCACCUUGCGCUCCUUGGUAUUCCGAGGAGCAUGCCUGUUUGAGUGUCAUUAAAUUCUCAACUCCAAGGGUUUCACGACCUUUCGGAGAUUGGACUUGGAGGUGCUGGCCGCAUAUUGGUCGGCUCCUCUCAAAUGCAUCAGCGGAAUUCAACCUUUGGCUUCCGGAUGUCAGUGUGAUAAUCAUGUUGCGCUGUCGUUUGAUCCCUCAGAGUCCGCUUAUAAUGGUCUUCGGACAAAAUCAUCAUCAAACUUGACCUCAAAUCAGGUAGGACUACCCGCUGAACUUAAGCAUAUCAAUAAGCGGAGGA
rnacentral:rRNA from 1 species